rnacentral:tRNA from 1 species
GGGAAUGUAGCUUAGUGGUAGAGUACUUGCCCAGCAUGCAUGAAGCCCUGGGUUAGAUUCCUCAGUCCCA